GCCAAAGAGAAAACUAGAGGAAGUAUUAAACCAAAGAAAAUCAGGAAAAUAAAAACUAAAGUUCCAGCUCAGUUCAUCUCAUCCAUUCAUUCAUAUAACAGAAUUUCAAAUUCAAUGGUCCAGAUUGAGUUACCUGUAGCAAGACUUCUCAGAGAAGCUAAGCCAACAGUUAUAAAUCUGAGCUUCUGUUUCAAUCUGGGGAGGGGAUUGAUUGCUGCCAAGACUUCUCAGAGAAGCUUCAAAGUUCUCUCUGAUACUUCUACAAUUCAUGAUGCGUUUUUUCCUCCAAACUUCUUCUCUCCAAAACUCACUCUCUAA